rnacentral:rRNA from 1 species
GUCCACAGCUGUAACGAUGAUAACUAGGUAUAGGGUGUUGACCCUUCUGUGCCGUAGCUAACGCAUUAAGUUAUCCGCCUGGGAGUACGGUCGCAAGAUUAAACUCAAGGAAUUGACGGGCCCGCACAAGCGGUGGAGUAUGUGGUUUAAUUCGACGCAACGCGCAGAACCUUACCUGGUCUUGACAUCCCGAGAAUUUUCUAGAAAUAGUUAAGUGCCUCUUCACAGAGGAGCUUGGAGACAGGUGCUGCAUGGCUGUCGU